rnacentral:rRNA from 1 species
GGAGGACAGGUGGUGCGAUGGUUGUCGUCAGCUCGUGUCGUGAGAUGUUGGGUUAAGUCCCGCAACGAGCGCAACCCCUGUGGUUAGUUGCCAGCAAGUAGCGUUGGGCACUCUAGCCAGACUGCCGGUGAUAAAUCGGAGGAAGGUGGGGACGACGUCAAAUCAUCAUGCCCUUUAUGUCCUGGGCUACACACGUACUACAAUGGCCGUUACAACGGGAAGCGAAGGAGCAAUCCGGAGCAAAUCCCUUAAAGGCGGUCCCAGUUCAGAUUGUGGGCUGAAACUCGCCCACAUGAAGGCGGAAUUGCUAGUAAUUGCAGAUCAGCAUGCUGCAGUGAAUACGUUCCCGGGCCUU